rnacentral:rRNA from 1 species
CCUACGGGAGGCUGCAGUGGGGGAUAUUGCACAAUGGGGGCAACCCUGAUGCAGCGACGCCGCGUGAGCGAUGGAGUACUUCGGUAUGUAAAGCUCUGUCAGCAGGGAAGAGAAUGACGGUACCUGACCAAGAAGCCCCGGCUAAAUACGUGCCAGCAGCCGCGGUAAUACGUAUGGGGCAAGUGUUAUCCGGAUUUACUGGGUGUAAAGGGAGCGUAGGCGGCAGGGCAAGCCUGAUGUGAAAGCCCGGGGCUCAACCCCGGGACUGCAUUGGGAACUGCUCCGCUCGAGUGCCGGAGGGGCAGGCGGAAUUCCUAGGGUAGCGGUGGAAUGCGUAGAUAUUAGGAGGAACACCAGUGGCGAAGGCGGCCUGCUGGACGGUGUACUGACGCUGAGGCUCGAAAGCGUGGGGAGCAAACAGGAUUAGAUACCCCGGUAGUC